rnacentral:lncRNA from 1 species
AUUGUACGCAACUCAAUCAUCCCCAACUUGAGUAGUUCGGGUAAUAAUUCUGUGUAAGACAUGGGCAGAGGAUCAAAUCUUCUAUCAACCUGCAAUUUCUGUCUGGGCUGAUAAGGACGUUGCUGUUGUUGUUGUUGCUGUUGCGGUUGUUGAACUCUUUGUUGUUGUUGACGAGGUUGAGGUGCCGGAAUGGUCACUGCAGCCACUGGACGAUAUUGAUCUCUGUUAGCAUUUGUUCUGUACACACCCCCUCUGUGCUGUACAGCAUUGGUCUCUCCUUCUCUACGGCGAGGUGCCCCAGAGAAGGGUUUCUUUAAUGAAGACGAGGAACCAGCAUCAUGGAUCCUACCAGCUUUGAUUAGACUCUCAGUCCUNNN